rnacentral:tRNA from 1 species
UGGGGUGUGGCUUAGUGGUAGAGAGCUUGCCUAGCAUGUGUGAGGCACUGGGUUCUAUUCUCAGCACCACAU